GUGGGGAAUCUUGCGCAAUGGGCGAAAGCCUGACGCAGCCAUGCCGCGUGGAUGAUGAAGGUCUUAGGAUUGUAAAAUCCUUUCACCGGUGAAGAUAAUGACUGUAGCCGGAGAAGAAGCCCCGGCUAACUUCGUGCCAGCAGCCGCGGUAAUACGAAGGGGGCUAGCGUUGCUCGGAUUUACUGGGCGUAAAGGGCGCGUAGGCGGACAUUUAAGUCAGGGGUGAAAUCCCGGGGCUCAACCUCGGAACUGCCUAUGAUACUGGGUGUCUUGAGUAUGAGAGAGGUGUGUGGAACUCCGAGUGUAGAGGUGAAAUUCGUAGAUAUUCGGAAGAACACCAGUGGCGAAGGCGACACACUGGCUCAUUACUGACGCUGAGGCGCGAAAGCGUGGGGAGCAAACAGGAUUAGAUACCCCUGUAGUCC
rnacentral:rRNA from 1 species